rnacentral:tRNA from 1 species
UCCGACUUAGCUCAGUUGGCAGAGCACCUGACUGUUAAUCAGGUUGUCGCCGGUUCGAGCCCGGCAGUCGGAG